AGCCACGAAGAAGGCGCGGCACACAGCUCAGUAACACGUAGCUAACCUGCCCUCGGGACGAGAACACCCCCGGGAAACUGGGGCUAAUUCUCGAUAGGCGAAGAACUCUGGAAUGAGUCUUUACCCAAAAGACGUUUAGAUCAUGCUUCUAGGCGUCGCCCAAGGAUGGGGCUGCGGCCGAUCAGGUAGUUGGUGAGGCAAUGGCUCACCAAGCCUUUAACCGGUGCGGGCCGUGGGAGCGGGAGCCCGGAGAUGGGCACUGAGACAAGGGCCCAGGCCCUACGGGGCGCAGCAGUCGCGAAAACUUUGCAAUAAGCGAAAGCUUGACAGGGCUAUCCCGAGUGCCAUCCGCUGAGGAAGGCUUUUACCCAGUCUAGUAAGCUGGGGGAAUAAGGAGAGGGCAAGUCUGGUGUCAGCCGCCGCGGUAAUACCAGCUCUCCGAGUGGUGUGGAUGUUUAUUGGGCCUAAAGCAUCCGUAGCUGGCUGAGUUAGUCCCCUGUUAAAUCCACCGAAUCAAUCGUUGGAUUGCGGGGGAUACUGCUCGGCUAGGGGACGGGAGAGGCAGACGGUAUUUCCGGGGUAAGGGUGAAAUCUUAUAAUCCCGGGAAGACCACCAGAGGCGAAGGCUGUCUGCUAGAACGCGCCCGACGGUGAGGGAUGAAAGCUGGGGGAGCGAACCGGAUUAGAUACCCGGGUAGUCCCAGCUGUAAACGAUGCAGACUAGGUGUUUGGACGGCCACGUGCCGUUCUAGUGCCGCAGGGAAGCUGUUAAGUCUGCCGCCUGGGGAGUACGAUCGCAAGAUUGAAACUUAA
rnacentral:rRNA from 1 species